rnacentral:misc_RNA from 1 species
UGGUGGUGGUGGGCGCUUCUACUGCAGUGGUGACUCCUCCUCCUUCUCUACCACAGCGCCCCUGCCACACACCUCCUACUUCUCCUCCCCAGCGUCGUGUGGUACAAGUCGUCUUCGUGUGGUACAAGUGUCUGUGGUACAACAAGUGUGUGAGGACUGUCUGUCGAGCUUUACCUUGAGGUGUUGUGCGCCUUCUCCUCACCAGGUUGCGUGUGUUACCGGGGACGUACGUGGUGUUGCCGUGUGACCCGACCAUCACCGCCAGGCCCGUGGCUCUCGACGACUAUCUCGACCGCUUCGACCUCCCUCCCCAGCAACACCUCGACCUAGGGCCCCAACAGCACCUUGACCAGAAGGGACCUCAACAAUACCACGACAUCCGGGCCCUCCAUAUUGAACUGGGCCCUCAACAACCUCCACACGACCCGGGGCCCCAGCAUGUUGAUUUAGGGUUCCAGAAGCACGAUCCAGGGUACCAACAUGUCAACUUGGGGUUCCAGACUCACGAUCAGGGCCCCCAGUAUGUCAAUAUAGGGCCCCAGCGCCACAGUCUCGGGCCCUGGCAACUUGAUCUAGGGCCGAAACGCCUCGACCUGUCGCAGAAAGACGAGAGCAGCCAGUUGUCAGCUGUUCCCAAGGGUCUACAGCUCGAACUACAGCAGCUACUGCUUAGAGAACAGAGGGGAAAGGAAACAGCUGUUCGCCGCCACCAGAACAAACAACAACAGCAUCAACAACAACAACAAAAACAGCCUCAACAACAAGAACAACAACAAUACCAAUACUACAAAGGUUACGAACUACAACAACAGAAACAGCUUCAACAACAACAACAACACUACAAAGGUAACCAACAAGAGCAAAUGGAACAGCAGCAGAAGUUAACAGAGGAAAAAAAGAUAAUGGUGCAUCCUUAUGACUCCUCUGAUGUUCACCUGCCUUCACAACAACAACAACAACAACGAUUAAUGAGAUCGUGAUAAGCAUUCGAACAACAACAACAACAAUAACCACCACCACCACCACCAUUACAGCAACCACAAUACUUAAUAAGAAAAUUAAUAGACACUUGAACAUCUCUCUCUCUCUCUCUCUCUCUCUCUCUCUCUCUCUCUCUCUCUCUCCUACAUCACAUUCAAACUUACAAAGAGUGAUGAAACUAAACCUCACUUACAAAAUACAAGGGGCAAAAUUCCAUCAGUACGUCACUCUACCGACACUAUACCCACUGUAUCUACACUAUAAUGCACUGUAGUCUGGGUACCGAGUAAGUCUGUAGGAAACGUGGUGAUGAGAUAUCUAUACUCUGGUGCUUUUAUCCCCUUCAGGAGGUCCAAGUUUGUCCUGUAGUUUCACCCUCAGUAAUGGAAAUACUCACUGUAUAUAUUUUUUCACGAGAUCCCCUGUAGAUUAGCUCCACCUCCUCCUAGUUUAUUUUUUUUCUUCAUAUUAACUAACAUAAGCUAAUCUAUCAUAACCUAACCUAACAUACCAUAAUACAAUGUAACCUAACCUAACAACAUAUAUCCUAACCUAAC